ensembl:miRNA tgu-mir-2980-2 tgu-mir-2980-2
AGUUUUUCAGCUUGAUCCUGCUCCAGUGGUAAGGUUUCACUAAAAACCUUAGCACUGGAGCAGAGUCAAGCUGAAAAACU